GAUGAACGCUGGCGGCGUGCCUAAUACAUGCAAGUCGAGCGAACAGACGAGGAGCUUGCUCCUCUAACGUAGCGGCGGACGGGUGAGUAACACGUGGAUAACCUACCUAUAAGACUGGGAUAACUUCGGGAAACCGGAGCUAAUACCGGAUAAUAUAUUGAACCGCAUGGUUCAAUAGUGAAAGACGGUUUUGCUGUCACUUAUAGAUGGAUCCGCGCCGCAUUAGCUAGUUGGUAAGGUAACAGCUUACCAAGGCAACGAUGCGUAGCCGACCUGAGAGGGUGAUCGGCCACACUGGAACUGAGACACGGUCCAGACUCCUACGGGAGGCAGCAGUAGGGAAUCUUCCGCAAUGGGCGAAAGCCUGACGGAGCAACGCCGCGUGAGUGAUGAAGGUCUUCGGAUCGUAAAACUCUGUUAUUAGGGAAGAACAAAUGUGUAAGUAACUAUGCACGUCUUGACGGUACCUAAUCAGAAAGCCACGGCUAACUACGUG
rnacentral:rRNA from 1 species